UAAGUGUUAGGGGGUUUCCGCCCCUUAGUGCUGCAGCUAACGCAUUAAGCACUCCGCCUGGGGAGUACGGUCGCAAGACUGAAACUCAAAGGAAUUGACGGGGGCCCGCACAAGCGGUGGAGCAUGUGGUUUAAUUCGAAGCAACGCGAAGAACCUUACCAGGUCUUGACAUCCUCUGACAAUCCUAGAGAUAGGACGUCCCCUUCGGGGGCAGAGUGACAGGUGGUGCAUGGUUGUCGUCAGCUCGUGUCGUGAGAUGUUGGGUUAAGUCCCGCAACGAGCGCAACCCUUGAUCUUAGUUGCCAGCAUUCAGUUGGGCACUCUAAGGUGACUGCCGGUGACAAACCGGAGGAAGGUGGGGAUGACGUCAAAUCAUCAUGCCCCUUAUGACCUGGGCUACACACGUGCUACAAUGGACAGAACAAAGGGCAGCGAAACCGCGAGGUUAAGCCAAUCCCACAAAUCUGUUCUCAGUUCGGAUCGCAGUCUGCAACUCGACUGCGUGAAGCUGGAAUCGCUAGUAAUCGCGGAUCAGCAUGU
rnacentral:rRNA from 1 species